GACGAACGCUGGCGGCGUGCCUAAUACAUGCAAGUCGAACGCAUUUUCUUUCACCGUAGCUUGCUACACCGAAAGAAAAUGAGUGGCGAACGGGUGAGUAACACGUUGGUAACCUGCCCAUCAGCGGGGGAUAACACUUGGAAACAGGUGCUAAUACCGCAUAAUUCCAUUUACUGCAUGGUAGAUGGAUGAAAGGCGCUUUUGCGUCACUGAUGGAUGGACCCGCGGUGCAUUAGCUAGUUGGUGGGGUAACGGCCUACCAAGGCUGCGAUGCAUAGCCGACCUGAGAGGGUGAUCGGCCACACUGGGACUGAGACACGGCCCAGACUCCUACGGGAGGCAGCAGUAGGGAAUCUUCGGCAAUGGACGCAAGUCUGACCGAGCAACGCCGCGUGAGUGAAGAAGGUUUUCGGAUCGUAAAACUCUGUUGUUAGAAAAGAACAAGGAUGAGAGUGGAAAGUUCAUCCCUUGACGGUAUCUAAACAGAAAGCCACGGCUAACUACGUG
rnacentral:rRNA from 1 species